rnacentral:rRNA from 1 species
UAUCGGAACGUGCCCUGGAGUGGGGGAUAACGUAGCAAAGUUACGCUAAUACCGCAUACGAUCUAAGGAUGAAAGUGGGGGAUCCGCAAGGACCUCAUGCUCAUGGAGCGGCCGAUAUCUGAUUAGCUAGUUGGUAGGGUAAAAGCCUACCAAGGCAUCGAUCAGUAGCUGGUUUGAGAGAACGACCAGCCACACUGGGACUGAGACACGGCCCAG